GCAAUCCAACCUCAUUUAACCAUUAUUUCAAAAGAGAUUUGGACUCCAACCUAGGAGUUGCACUUGAGCGUGAUCUUGAAAAGCACUAAGUAUUUGGGGGUACAAGCGAGGACGUGAGGCUGGUACAGGC